UAUUCCUUUACUUUCUUAAUAAACUUGCUUUCACUUUACUCUAUGGACUUGCCUUAAAUUAUUUCUUGAGCGAGAUCCAAGAACCCUCUCUUGGGGUAUGGAUUGGGACCCCUGUCCUGUAACAUACUCCUGGCCACCACAGAAGAGACUAUACUGCAGAGACCCCUGACCCAAAGGCUAACUUUGGGUAUGUGGUGAGAUCCAGUGACACCUUUCUUGCAAACCACAAAAGGAACAAUACUGAGGAGAUCCCCCUGACCCAAAGGAAAUAGACUGCAGCACUGAUUGGACGACUUUGGGUAAGUGGUGGGGUAUCCAAGUUAAGAAUGGGAUUGGGAUAGACACUCAAGUUACGGGAGUUAGAGUCUCUCCUAAGACAGAGUGGGUUAGAGGCCCCUCUUAAUAAAAGGCAAGGACACUAGACCGACCUUGGGUUAGAGGCCUAACUCAGGAGGAUUAGAGUCCCUCCUAAGAUUUAGGGGAUUAGAGACCCUCUCAGUAAAGCCCUGUUGGCUAACAACAGGUUUGGCACUGUGGGAUGUUAACUCCUGUUCUCUUUGGAUUAAUCUGCCUUGCAUUCUUUGUUGAUGACUGUGGCCAACAGGGUUAGGCAUGUACAGGAUCAUGGGACACUGGGAGCAUUUUCCUCCUGCAAAAGGGGAAACUUGAGAGCUGAGGGGACUGCUGGAAAAAAUACCUUCACAACAGCAGCUGCAGCCGCCGGAACUUUUCAGUGUCACUACAUUGGGUAGGUCUUUCUCUGGCCUCCCUGAUCAUCUCGCCUUCCUGGGGAAAGUAUUGCCUGUGGAAAGUAUUUCCUGGGAAAAUAUUACCUGGGAAAGUAUUUCCCUUUCUCAUCUUUUCUGUUACUCUGUUACUCAGGGUGGCCAUCGUCCCCAGAGAUCACAUGUUGAAACUCCAAGUCAGAGGUUGGAUUAAAGAUGACGGGGCCCAUCGGGGGGCAAAUUUAAGCCUUACCAGUUUAAUAUUGCGUGCUAAGCAGAGUGGCUAAUGUGUAUGUUUUAUCGCAUGUAUUUUGUUCUGGUCAGAAUGAAAAAAUGUAAUUUUCCUUUAUAAUGCGACUUGGCCCCCAGGGCAAUGGUGCCACAAGCCAGAUCACUGGGACCACUCAGAGAAAGGGAACACAGAAGCCUCGCAUGCCAGCAAAAGGAGUCAAGGAAACUUUUCAUUUGAGCUAUUUACAGCUUUUACCAGUUGAAUAUAUUCCUGUGACAAAAUUUGCAACGUAUUUGUUUCUCUCUACCUGAUUUCUCCAGAAUUUGGAAACUAGUUCUAAAAUUGUCAGAAAAUAAAAAAUUUAAAACAAGAAAAGCAAGGAGACUUCUGGCAUGACAGCAUAAGGAGCUCUGUGGGCCCACUUCCCAAGAAAACUGUUGAAAAUUAUUAAAAACAAAAAUGAAAAAAAAAAAAAAGUCACGUCUCUGGAGAUAGUCCUAAGGAGUACAUCAAAUGAAAAAAUAUUUAUUCAAGAGAAUCUGUCCUUCUGUAAGAACUGUGAGAGUCUGUAGUAUUUGAACCAAGACCAUCUGUUUCCUUCAACCUUCCCAAUUCAGUGAUACGGAAACUAUACUCCACAGUGUUGCAGACAAGAACCCAGGGCUCUCCCUCCCAGCUUCCAGACACAGGGCUGUCUUCUCAGCAGGUCUGUAGUUGUGGACCAUGACAGGGCAGCUGAAAAGACAUGAGGCCACUGGCCACCCACUACCACUGAGCACUCAGCCCUCAAAGCAGGGAUGUCAGAAGUGGACCAUUGUACUCACUCCCAGCUUUACAGCCCAGAUCCAGAGACACUGCCUGAGGGUACAAGCAGAGAACCUGGAAAGAAACGUGGGGGUAGGCCAACCUGAGGUUGAACAAAUAUCAAACAGUUUGGGAACCCAAAAAGCCUGAUUUUUUGUUUGUUUGUUUGUUUUUGAGAUGGAGUUUUGCUCUGUCACCCAGGCUGGAGUGCAAUGGCACGAUGUCGGCUCACUGCAACCUCCGCCUCCUAGGUUCAAGCUAUUUUCUUGCCUCAUCCCAAGUAGCUGGGGUUACAUUUUUGUAGUUUUUAGUAGAGACAGGGUUUCACCAUGUUGACCAGGCUGGUCUUGAACUCCUGACCUCAAGUGAUCCGCCUGCGUUGGCCUCCCAAAGUGCUGGGACUACAGACGUGAUCCACCAUGCUUGGUCAAGCCUGAUGAAAAGCUUUGGAGCAAUUUAUGCCUCUGUGUAUUGUUGAAAGUGGUGUAAUUCUGAACUCGCUUCUCAAACCACAUCAGUGGUCUAUGGUGGAAGAAUCAAGAAUACCCAGGCUCUCUGGUUACGAAGGUAAAAAAUGGGUUCCAACCCUAAGAUUCAUCUGGAAUCUGCUGCUUCCUCUUCAUCUCAAGUCUCACUUCAUAAGGAAUCUUUUAUAACCAGUAUUUGCUCCAGUCAUCAUCUACUUUCAUUCCCUGUAGAAUGUCUUGUUCUCAUGGAGUCAAGAGCAGAAAUAUAUUUCGGGGCUAGAACCAUGACUUUCAGUCUUGAACUGGAAGUUUCCUCUGAAGCCACAGGCUGGUUGCUGAGAGAAGAGAAAGGGAAAUGGCCUUAACAGCCAGGGGCGACCCAACAGUCCUACAGUAACCAUCCUACAGUAACCGCCCUAUAGUAACAGUCCUACGGUAAUAGUACUACAGUAACCGUCCUAUAGCAACAGUCCUACAGUAACCGCCCUACAGUAACAAUCCUACGGUAACAGUCCUACAGUAACCGUCCUAUAGUAACAGUCCUACAGUAACCAUCCUACAGUAACAGUCCUACAAUAACAUCCUACGGUAACAGUCCUACAGUAACUGUCCUACAGGGGUGCCAGGAGACCAUGGGGAUUUCACAGCCUCAUUAUAAAAUCCACUCAACAUUCACUCUACAAAUACUUUUUAGAGAAGCUGAGGGAAGGCACUGCAAGAUGAUGUAAAAGAUACCAUGUUGAGCCAGUCCCACCUGGAUUGUAGACAUGUGGUCCAGGUAAUGAGCCUUAGCUUGUAUCAACCUUUCCCGUCUCAUAGAGGCCUUUACAGAUCUGUUUUUUUUUUUUUUUUUUUUGAAAUGGGGUCUUGCUCUGUAACCCAG